rnacentral:rRNA from 1 species
CAUUACACAAAUGAAAAUAUGAAGGCCCUUCAAACCGGCUGGAUUAUUUUUCUUCACCCUUGUCUUUUGCGCACUUGUUGUUUCCUGGGCGGGUUCGCUCGCCACCAGGACCACACCAUAAACCUUUUUGUUAAUGCAAUCAGCGUCAGUAAAAAGUAAUAAUUAUUUUACAACUUUCAACAACGGAUCUCUUGGUUCUGGCAUCGAUGAAGAACGCAGCGAAAUGCGAUACGUAGUGUGAAUUGCAGAAUUCAGUGAAUCAUCGAAUCUUUGAACGCACAUUGCGCCCUUUGGUAUUCCAAAGGGCAUGCCUGUUCGAGCGUCAUUUGUACCCUCAAGCUUUGCUUGGUGUUGGGCGUUGUUUGUCUUUGGCCUUGCCCAAAGACUCGCCUUAAAACAAUUGGCAGCCGGCCUACUGGUUUCGCAGCGCAGCACAUUUUUGCGCUUGCAAUCAGCAAAAGAGGUUGGCCAUCCAUCAAGACUACAUUUAUACGUUUGACCUCGGAUCAGGUAGGGAUACCCGCUGAACUUAA